CUGCAUGUGACUUGCACAGCCUUCCAUAAACACUUCCUGUAAAGAGAGCCCUAUUUAGGCUUUCUUUAUUGCAAGUUCGGUUUAAUUAAGAUUUUCUUAUCCCCUGCUAUGUUAAUUGCUUGCUAGACCCUGCAAGAGCCUCCUGUAUGUGAUUAAAGUUCAAUUUAGAGAUUGAGAUACAAUUAUGUAAGGUAAAUAACAUAUGUUUGAAAGUGAAACCAGUUUUUUUUUUCCAUGCAGGCUCUGUC